rnacentral:rRNA from 1 species
UGAGUGAAGAAGGCCCUCGGGUUGUAAAGCUCUUUUGUCCGGAAAGAAAAGCUUCGGGUUAAUACCCCGGGGUUCUGACGGUACCGGAAGAAUAAGCACCGGCUAACUUCGUGCCAGCAGCCGCGGUAAUACGAAGGGUGCAAGCGUUACUCGGAAUUACUGGGCGUAAAGCGUGCGUAGGUGGUUCGUUAAGUCUGAUGUGAAAGCCCUGGGCUCAACCUGGGAAUUGCAUUGGGUACUGGCGGGCUAGGGUGCGGUAGAGGAUGGCGGAAUUCCCGGUGUAGCAGUGAAAUGUGUAGAGAUCGGGAGGAACAUCCGUGGCGAAGGCGGCCAUCUGGACCAGCACUGACACUGAGGCACGAAAGCGUGGGGAGCAAACAGGAUUAGAUACCCUGGUAGUCCACGCCCUAAACGA